UCAUUUUGUUAUUUUUUGUUGAAGUGUUUAGUCGCGUCGUGUCUCGUGUCGUUGUUAAUAAAAUAUAAGUAUAAUUAUAAACAAUUAUAUCAAACUAUUAACAAUAUGGAAACAAAAAAAGGUAUGUUGUACCCUUCAAGCAAGAAAACUGAGUUCAACAAAGAAACUCCGACCUCAGACCGCGAAAAUCGGACUUGCACUCACACACUUGCAACUUUUUGUGUAUGAACACAAAGUCGAACGAGAAACGAGGUGAAAAAUGAGAAAAGGAAAAGAAAGACAAGGCCAACAAGAGCCAAAGCGUCAUUUUGUUAUUUUUUGUUGAAGUGUUUGGUCGCGUGUGUCUCGUGUCUCGUGUCGUUGUUUGUAUAAUGUUAGUUUAUUAAUUAUAAACAAUUUUAUUAAAUUAUAAACAAUAUGGAAAACAAAAAAGAUGUACAGGGCUAUUCUGGCAAACCUCACUGAUGCCUCACAAGUCACAAAAACCUCAUAACUCAAGUUGAACUCGAUUUUGUGACUUUUUCGUAUUCUAACGAAAACCUCACAGAUCACAAGAACCUCAUAAGGUGUGGUGAGUUUGAUUUUGUGAGGUUUUUCCAAUUCUGGCAUACCCUCACAACUUGUGAGCCUCAUAAAAAUUGUUAAAAUUGUGAUCGCCUUCAGAUCAGGUCACAACUCACAAAUUAUUAGAGUUUUGAAAUUGUUUGUAUUUUCAUAAAAUAUUUUGAGAACAAUUUAAAGUUUUUUUUAUUUGUGAAUCAACAAAAAUGCAACUAGACCUUGUUUUGUUGCAUCUUAAUGCAGAAAAAAAAAGAGAAAAUCUAUAAGCAAUUCCAAGAAGUCUUACCCCAAUGUGUUCCAAACGUUUGUCAUUGGAUGUUGGUUGCAUCUGGAGAUAAUUUCUCAGUAGUCAUCGAUGAAUAUUUGGAACUUGGCCUGCGUCGGCAUUACUUUGGACAACAAUUUUUUUUAAUCACCGCAUUAUGAUUUUAUGCUUGAGACCGAAAGAGAGUUAGAGUAGCUCAAGGAGUGGCUUAGUUUCGGAUAGCCAAUCAGAUCAGAUUGGGAUGAGAACAAAAAGCUCUAUUUAAAUCUUAUGAUGAUAGAGGAAGAAUGAGGAAAUCAGUUAUUGCCACUUAAUAAACAAACAACAAUAUAUCGCAUGUGAACCAGCGGGAGUGCAUAAACACUUGUACAUUAUGUCGAAUAAGGUCCAACUUAUCAUCUAAUUGACUCUUAUUGAUUGAAUUCAAUAUACACGCUUCGGAUAUCUGACAAGCAAAGAAUCAUCGUAUAGGAUACGAAGGAACAACAACACCAUCAACAACAGAUUGAUCCAAAUCAAACAAUUACAUAUCAUGGAAUGUCCCGGAAUAUUAAAGAAGACUAAAGUCUAAUUAAGAAACGAGUACAUACAUAGGUGAUAUUUUCGUUUAUUAUUCCACAAUUUUUAAACGAUAAUUUGAUUUGUAAAAAAAGCAAAAGAAAAAAAAUAAACGUGUCAUUGGAAAAAAUAAAAUAAGAAACAAACCA